GAGGAAUAUUGGUCAAUGGGCGCGAGCCUGAACCAGCCAAGUAGCGUGCAGGAUGACGGCCCUAUGGGUUGUAAACUGCUUUUGUAUGGGGAUAAAGUCAAUCACGUGUGAUUGUUUGCAGGUACCAUACGAAUAAGGACCGGCUAAUUCCGUGCCAGCAGCCGCGGUAAUACGGAAGGUCCGGGCGUUAUCCGGAUUUAUUGGGUUUAAAGGGAGCGUAGGCUGGAGAUUAAGUGUGUUGUGAAAUGUAGACGCUCAACGUCUGAAUUGCAGCGCAUACUGGUUUCCUUGAGUACGCACAACGUUGGCGGAAUUCGUCGUGUAGCGGUGAAAUGCUUAGAUAUGACGAAGAACUCCGAUUGCGAAGGCAGCUGACGGGAGCGCAACUGACGCUUAAGCUCGAAGGUGCGGGUAUCAAACAGGAUUAGAUACCCUGGUAGUCCGCACAGUAAACGAUGGAUGUCCGCUGUUGGUACCUGGUAUCAGCGGCUAAGCGAAAGCAUUAAGCAUCCCACCUGGGGAGUACGCCGGCAACGGUG
rnacentral:rRNA from 1 species